AAUGAACGCUGGCGGCGUGCUUAACACAUGCAAGUCGGACGAGAAAGCCUUAUUUCGGUAGGGCGAGUAAAGUGGCGCACGGGUGAGUAACGCGUAGGCAACCUACCCUUGUAUUGGGGAUAACAGGACGAAAGUUCUGCUAAUACCGGAUGAGACCUUGGUUCGGUGGGAUCGAGGUGAAAGUCGGCCUCUUCGUUUGAAAGCUGACGUACGGGGAUGGGCCUGCGUCCUAUCAGCUGGUUGGUAGGGUAGCGGCCUACCAAGGCGACGACGGGUAGCUGGUCUGAGAGGAUGAUCAGCCACACUGGCACUGGAACACGGGCCAGACUCCUACGGGAGGCAGCAGUGAGGAAUUUUGCGCAAUGGCCGCAAGGCUGACGCAGCAACGCCGCGUGGGUGAAGAAGGCCUUCGGGUCGUAAAGCCCUGUCAGGUGGGAAGAAAGGGUCUGUCAAGAAACGGAUGGAUUUUGACGGUACCACCAGAGGAAGCACCGGCUAACUCCGUGCCAGCAGCCGCAGUAACAC
rnacentral:rRNA from 1 species